UAAGGAAUAUUGGGCAAUGCCCGCAAGGGUGACCCAGCAACGCCGCGUGGAGGAUGAAUGUCGUAAGAUUGUAAACUCCUGUUAGAGGGGAAGAAUAGUACCGGUUGGACCGGUAUAUGACUGUACCCUCAGAGAAAGCCCCGGCUAACUACGUGCCAGCAGCCGCGGUAAUACGUAGGGGGCAAGCGUUGUCCGGAUUUACUGGGUGUAAAGGGCGCGCAGGCGGGAUAAAAAGUCAGUGGUGAAAUCCUACAGCUUAACUGUAGAACUGCCUUUGAUACUUUUAUUCUUGAGUUCGGGAGAGAGAGACGGAAUUCCAGGGGUAGUGGUGGAAUACGUAGAUAUCUGGAAGAACACCAGUUGCGAAGGCGGUCUCUUGGUCCGACACUGACGCUGAGGCGCGAAAGCGUGGGGAGCAAACA
rnacentral:rRNA from 1 species